CAUCGCCCCCCGAAAAAUUUUAACAUGGGGGGUCCUGCCUGCCCAGUGACUCGAGGUUAAACGGCCGCGGUAUCUUGACCGUGCGAAGGUAGCAUAAUCAUUUGUCUCCUAAAUAGAGACUAGUAUGAAUGGCAAGACGGAACUAAACUGUCUCUUUUUCACAACUCCGAAUUUCACCUCCCCGUGAAGAGGCGGGGAUAAAAUCGUUAGACGAGAAGACCCUGUCGAGCUUACAGCAAAAAUCGAGCUUUUAAUUCACUUGACCUCUACUAACUUAUAAAUUUAUACGAGAACAAGCUUUUAAAAGCCUCGAACAAGCUUUGGUUGGGGCAACCGCGGAGUAGGAAAAUCCUCCGCUAAUAAAACAAUUUUACAAAGAAUUACAAUUCUACAAUCAAAAUGAAAGUAUGAUCCACUAAGGUGAUCAAAGGAACAAGUUACCGCAGGGAUAACAGCGUUAUCUUUUCUGAGAGUUCACAUUGACGAAAAGGUUUGCGACCUCGAUGUUGGAUCGGGACAUCCUAAGGGUGCAGAAGCUUUUAAGGGUUGGUCUGUUCGACCAUUAAAGUCCUAC
rnacentral:rRNA from 1 species